ACUGCCUUCCUGUUGGAGCAAGUUUCCUUCC
rnacentral:piRNA from 1 species